AUCCGAGACGUUGAGCAAGUCAGCGAGCCGCUCGCAACGGCCAAGGAAAAAAACGUCUUCAGUUAAACCUAAAUCGCUGGCUAGACGCUCCAACGACGCGCGUAAAGGCCCUUCUCCAGCAAGUAGGAAACCUGUUCCGGGCGCCGAUUGCUUAACCUGGCGGGCUGCCCUCAGAAACAUUGGAUAGUCUUUCACUUCAUGUCGCAUGUUCGCGACGAUAGUUACAAAAGCACUAUGUCUGGCCUUUUCUAAACCUAAGGAAUGCAGACUUUCUUCACGUGUAAGACCGGAAGUCGCGAGUCGCC
rnacentral:misc_RNA from 1 species